GACGAGCGCUGGCGGCGUGCCUAAUACAUGCAAGUCGAGCGCUGAAGGUUGGUACUUGUACCAACUGGAUGAGCAGCGAACGGGUGAGUAACGCGUGGGGAAUCUGCCUUUGAGCGGGGGACAACAUUGGGAAACGAAUGCUAAUACCGCAUAAAAACUUGAAACACAAGGUUGAAGAGUGAAAGAUGGAAUUGCAGCACUCAAAGAUGAUCCCGCGUUGUAUUAGCUAGUUGGUGAGGUAAAGGCUCACCAAGGCGAUGAUACAUAGCCGACCUGCGAGGGUGAUCGGCCACCUUGGGACUGGGACACGGCCCCACAUCCUUCGGGUGGCAGCCGUAGGGAAUCUUCGGCCAUAGGCGGAAGUCUUACCGAGCCACGCCGCGUGCGUGGAGAAGGUUUUCGGGUCGUAAAACUCUGUUGGUGGGGAAGAACGUUGGUGAGAGUGGAACGCUCAUCGAGUGACGGUAACUACCCAGAAAGGUACGGCUAACUACGUG
rnacentral:rRNA from 1 species